AUUGAACGCUGGCGGAAUGCUUUACACAUGCAAGUCGAACGGUAGAGGGGGCAACCCCUCGAGAGUGGCGAACGGGUGAGUAAUAUAUCGGAACGUGCCCAGUCGUGGGGGAUAACGUAGCGAAAGUUACGCUAAUACCGCAUACGAUCUAAGGAUGAAAGCGGGGGAUCGCAAGACCUCGCGCGAUUGGAGCGGCCGAUAUCAGAUUAGGCAGUUGGUGGGGUAAAGGCUCACCAAGCCAACGAUCUGUAGCUGGUCUGAGAGGACGACCAGCCACAUUGGAACUGAGACACGGUCCAGACUCCUACGGGAGGCAGCAGUGGGGAAUUUUGGACAAUGGACGCAAGUCUGAUCCAGCCAUUCCGCGUGCAGGAUGAAGGCCCUCGGGUUGUAAACUGCUUUUGUACGGAACGAAAAGGUCUCUCUUAAUACGGGGGACUCAUGACGGUACCGUAAGAAUAAGCACCGGCUAACUACGUGCCAGCAGCAGCCGCGG
rnacentral:rRNA from 1 species